rfam:Triticum urartu cultivar G1812 contig852104, whole genome shotgun sequence.
AUGAUACUUCCUCCGUCCGGAAAUAUUUGUCAUCAAAAUGGAUAAAAGGGGAUGUAUCUAGACGUAUUUUAAUUCUAGAUACAUUUAUUUUUAUCCAUUUUAGUGACAAGUAUUUUUGGACGGUGAGAGUACAAA